rnacentral:rRNA from 1 species
AGCGUAGACGGUGUUGCAAGUCUGAUGUGAAAGGCGGGGGCUCAACCCCUGGACUGCAUUGGAAACUGUGAUACUCGAGUGCCGGAGAGGUAAGCGGAAUUCCUAGUGUAGCGGUGAAAUGCGUAGAUAUUAGGAGGAACACCAGUGGCGAAGGCGGCUUACUGGACGGUAACUGACGUUGAGGCUCGAAAGCGUGGGGAAGCAAACA